UACGUAGGGGCCGAGCGUUGUCCGGAGUUAUUGGGCGUAAAGCGCGCGCAGGCGGCCUCGCGCGCCCGACGUGAAAGCCCCCGGCUUAACCGGGGAGGGUCGUUGGGGACGGCGGGGCUUGAGGGCGGGAGAGGUCGGUGGAAUUCCCGGUGUAGUGGUGAAAUGCGUAGAGAUCGGGAGGAACACCAGUGGCGAAGGCGGCUCACUGGACCGGUACUGACGCUGAGGAGCGAAAGCGUGGGGAGCGAACAGG
rnacentral:rRNA from 1 species